UAUACUUUUCACAUACAGCAACAUAGUCAGAAAAUUAUUAUGACCAUGUUUCAGGUUUCAUAGUAAGCCUUUUUUGGGGAGAAAUGAAUUAUUGCAGGCCCAAGAGCUAUGUGGCUGCUGAAAGACUACCAAUCUGUGACGGCCCCUCCCUCCAGAUGAGUGCUAUCAAAAACAUGCCUCAAUCACUGUGCAUUUGGUUCACAGUAAGCAUGGAACAUGAAAACUACUGUUUGCAACAGGUAUGGAGUGUCUUUGAUCAAAGUUUGCAUGGAUAAUCUGGAAGAAUGAUUGUGCUUUUUCUACUUACAAUCUCUUGUAUAUUUUAUUGAAUAAAAAAAUAAUACAUUUACA
rnacentral:lncRNA from 1 species